rnacentral:rRNA from 1 species
GGGCCGCAGUGAAAAGAUCCAGGCGACUGUUUAUCAAAAACACAGGGCUAUGCUAAAUUGAAAGAUGACGUAUAUGGCCUGACACCUGCCCGGUGCUGGAAGGUUAAGUGGAGGGUUUAGCUUCGGCGAAGAUCUGAAAUGAAGCCCCAGUAAACGGCGGCCGUAACUAUAACGGUCCUAAGGUAGCGAAAUUCCUUGUCGGGUAAGUUCCGACCUGCACGAAUGGUGCAACGAUCUGGAUACUGUCUCAGCCAUGAGCUCGGUGAAAUUGUAGUAACGGUGAAGAUGCCGUUUACCCGCUGUGGGACGAAAAGACCCCGUGCACCUUUACUAUAGCUUAGUAUUGGUUUUGGAUAAGUAAUGUGUAGGAUAGGUGGGAGACUUUGAA